rnacentral:lncRNA from 1 species
CGUCGGGGCAUGGGGGGGGCUUGGGGUGGAGCGGGGGCCCCGGGGGGGCUCUAACCACCUGUAUCUCCCCAGGCCCCCGUCCUGUGAGCCCCACAACAGCUUCAUGCUGCUGACGCGGCCCAGGUCCCCCUCUCGCACCCCGAUCAAGCAGCAGCCGGUGCCCUCAGCAGAGCCGUUCCUGUCCAUCCCGAGGUCGCCACAAGCCCCUCAGAGCCGCAAGGUCUCCUUCACCCAGCCAGAACCGGACAACGACAGCGUGCCCAGCUACGAGAACGAGGGCGAGGCGGGCGGCCAUCCCCGGGGCGCCUGGCCGCGGGCCCCAUCCCCUGCCCCGCUGGCAGCCCCUGAGAGCGAGGAUGACUACAACAACGAGCUCUACGCCACCGGCUACGUCGAGGUGCUCCCGGAYGGCGCGGCCCAGCCCAGCCCGCCCCAGCAACCCCAGGCCAGGGACAGCGGCUCCUCCGCGGCGCCCGGUGAGGAGUAUGAGAACGUCCCCGACGCCCACCGCCAGUCCCUAGCUGACAGCCUGGAGUACGUCAAUGUCCCCGAGGCCGGGGCCAGCCCCACGCCCCGCUACGCCAGCGAGAGCGAGGAGGACGCCCCAGACUACGAGAACCUGCAGCGCUGA